rnacentral:rRNA from 1 species
GACGUAGGGUGCGAGCGUUGUCCGGAAUUAUUGGGCGUAAAGAGCUCGUAGGCGGUGUGUCGCGUCGGCCGUGAAAACCUGGGGCUUAACUCCGGGCCUGCAGUCGAUACGGGCAGACUAGAGUUCGGUAGGGGAGACUGGAAUUCCUGGUGUAGCGGUGAAAUGCGCAGAUAUCAGGAGGAACACCAGUGGCGAAGGCGACUACCUGGCCUGUUCUUGACGCUGAGGCGCGAAAGCUAGGGGAGCAAACGGG